rnacentral:rRNA from 1 species
AUUACCGCGGCUGCUGGCACGUAGUUAGCCGGGGCUUCUUCUGAAGGUACCGUCACCCUCUGGGCUAUUAACCCGAGGAGCUUCGUCCCCCCUGAAAGAGGUUUACAACCCGAAAGCCUUCUUCCCUCACGCGGCGUCGCUGCAUCAGGCUUUCGCCCAUUGUGCAAGAUUCCCCACUGCUGCCUCCCGUAGG